GCACAGGGCUCUACAUCAUGGUGCUCUACAGCACAGGGCUCUACAUCAUGGUGCUCUACAGCACAGGGCUCUAAUGCCUUUAUGUCUGUAUUAUGAGGAAAAUUAUUGGACUUAAUUGUUUUUAAUGAAAUAAUAGGUAAUUAGUAAUAAUUUGUUUGAGAAACGAUUAUAUCUCAGUAAAAUUAUGUGGAUUCAUCUUUAUGCCCUUUAUAACCAACACAAAUAUAGUAUUGUAACUAUAACUUACUUGCUAAAGGCCAAAGUGCCAAAGGCCCUGAGGUCCGGUUCAGCAUCAAACAAUCAGAAAUGGAGAAGGCAUGUAAAUCUAUAUGUAAACACAAUGAAUGCCAGGUUGUAACCUUGUACUCUGUAUUCUCUUAAAUACAAAUCCCGAUUUCAUACCUGCUGAUCUACUUAAGUCAUAUUUAACAUAGACAACACCUAAUGACAUCAGUGCCUCUGUGUUUCAGAGGACAUUUUCACGGUGCCCCAGUCAUAAGCUUGAGUCACUGUGGCUAUAGGUCUAACGUCAUCCCCACUUCACUGCGGCUAUAGCAAUAGGUCUAACGUCAUCCCCACUUCACUGUGGCUAUAGCAAUAGGUCUAACGUCAUCCCCACUUCACUGCGGCUAUAGGUCUAACGUCAUCCCCACUUCACUGCGGCUAUAGCAAUAGGUCUAACGUCAUCCCCACUUCGCUGUGGCUAUAGCAAUAGGUCUAACGUCAUCCCCACUUCACUGCGGCUAUAGCAAUAGGUCUAACGUCAUCCCCACUUCACUGCGGCUUUAGCAAUAGGUCUAACGUCAUCCCCACUUCACUGUGGCCUCCUCCGCCACACCCACACUCCAGAAUCCACCCGUGUCUGGAGCAACCGUGGAACUGGGAAACUGCGAUGGCAAUUAUGGACAAUAAAACGUACCAAGUGGUCGAGUUGUACCUGGCUAAUCUUUUCCGUAUGAAGACAAACCCCUCACACAGUGUGGGACAUUGUCUUCCUGACACUUUGCUCUUCCUCUUCAAACCUCCCCCUCAUCCUCAUGAUGUUGCCUACCUUCCCCCGCGUGGGUGAUCAAGCCCGCAUCCUCAUGGAGUGAUCUAGUCCGUCCGUCAAAUAGGGGUCCAGCCGCUCCCUUCAUUAAGUGGUCCAGCCUCCCUCUCUUGAGGUGGUCUAAGUCUCUCCCCCAUGAAGGUGUCUAGCCUCCCCCUUUCUAAUGUGUAAUAAAUACUGUGAACGUCUCCCAGGCUUUCUUCCCUGUCUGGCUCAGUUGGUGGAAUGCAGUCAGAGCCUCGGCCAUCUCUCUCCCACCCACAUUAACUCUCAUUAUCUAGGGCUAAAUAAACCCAGGAAGAGUUUGAGUGAUAAUGCAAAUCUGUAAACAGUGCAUUAAAUAAAUAGCAGUACAAUGUGUUGUCUUCC
ensembl:lncRNA